GGAUUAGAAACCCUGGUAGUCCACGCCGUAAACGAUGUGUGCUAGUUGUCGGGCCCUUAGGGUUCGGUGACGCAGCUAACGCUUUAAGCACACCGCCUGGGGAGUACGGUCGCAAGAUUAAAACUCAAAGGAAUUGACGGGGACCCGCACAAGCGGUGGAGCAUGUUGUUUAAUUCGAAGCAACGCGAAGAACCUUACCCACACUUGAUAUACCUCUUGGGGCUUUCAGAGAUGAUUGCUUUCGGUUCGGCCGGGGAGGAUACAGGUGCUGCAUGGCUGUCGUCAGCUCGUGUCGUGAGAUGUUGGGUUAAGUCCCGCAACGAGCGCAACCCUUAUCGUAUGUUACCAGCAUUUAGUUGGGGACUCAUGCGAGACUGCCGGUGACAAGCCGGAG
rnacentral:rRNA from 1 species